UACAGAGGUGGCAAGCGUUGUUCGGAAUUACUGGGCGUAAAGGGCGCGUAGGCGGUCUUGUAAGUCUUGUGUGAAAUCCCUCGGCUUAACUGAGGAACUGCACGGGAUACUGCGAGACUUGAGUUCGGGAGAGGGAAGCGGAAUUCCGGGUGUAGCGGUGAAAUGCGUAGAUAUCCGGAGGAACACCGGUGGCGAAGGCGGCUUCCUGGACCGAUUACUGACGCUGAGGCGCGAAAGCUAGGGGAGCAAACAGG
rnacentral:rRNA from 1 species